rnacentral:rRNA from 1 species
CCUACGGGGGGCAGCAGUGGGGAAUAUUGGGCAAUGGGCGCAAGCCUGACCCAGCAACGCCGCGUGAAGGAAGAAGGCUUUCGGGUUGUAAACUUCUUUUCUCAGGGACGAAGCAAGUGACGGUACCUGCGGAAUAAGCCACGGCUAACUAAGUGCCAGCAGCCGCGGUAAUACGUAGGUGGCAAGCGUUAUCCGGAUUUACUGGGUGUAAAGGGCGUGUAGGCGGGAAAGCAAGUCAGAUGUGAAAACCAUGGGCUCAACCUGUGGCCUGCAUUUGAAACUGUUUUUCUUGAGUACUGGAGAGGCAGACGGAAUUCGUAGUGUAGCGGUGAAAUGAGUAGAUAUUAGGAGGAACACAAGUGGCGAAGGCGGUCUGCUGGACAGCAACUGACGCUGAGGCGCGAAAGCGUGGGGAGCAAACAGGAUUAGAUACCCUUGUAGUC